rnacentral:snoRNA from 1 species
CUGGCUCCUUAGAGGCAUUGCAGAUGUGGUUGCUGUGUCACAUGUGUGUCAGUAGGUGGCAGAGGAGAGAGAGGAGAAGAUAUGUCUACGUUUGGCAUUCUAACCUAUGAAUAUCUGAAUGAUUAGCAGCCACAGACU